rnacentral:sRNA from 1 species
GAUACCAGGGGCAAAAGUUAAAAACCACGAUGUGCUUGCACAUGAGUGGUUCUUAAACUUUAUGCCCCGCCCAAAUAUGAGCAUAAAAGAGGAGCGCAAGCGCCUCGAUAUGCGAAUAUUGGGCAGGAUUGUGGGAGUACGAAGUACGAAACAAUCCGUAUGGU